CAGCCGCCGCGGGAAUACGGAGGGAGCUAGCGUUGUUCGGAAUUACUGGGCGUAAAGCGCGCGUAGGCGGUUACUCAAGUCAGAGGUGAAAGCCCGGGGCUCAACCCCGGAACUGCCUUUGAAACUAGGUGACUAGAAUCUUGGAGAGGUCAGUGGAAUUCCGAGUGUAGAGGUGAAAUUCGUAGAUAUUCGGAAGAACACCAGUGGCGAAGGCGACUGACUGGACAGGUAUUGACGCUGAGGUGCGAAAGCGUGGGGAGCAAACAGGAUUAGAUACCCCCGUAGUCCCUGUCUCUUAUAC
rnacentral:rRNA from 1 species